ensembl:lncRNA
GAAUUAUUUCAUCAAAACAGAUAUGCUGCAUUAACUAUUUAUUUAGAAGUAAACUCUCUUUCAGAGCGAAGUGUCCAGGUUGCACACACAAAAGAGUGUGUGUGCGUGGCGGCGCUCAGUGGAGGUCGUGGGUCAAUAUGGACCUUGUUGGAUGCCGAGCCCCGAUGGUGUUCUCCGUGCUGAGCCGGGAUUGUAGCAAGCCUUCUCUCCUGCAUUUUUCUAGUUGGUGCUGGUUAUCAGGAAGACAGGAUGCCAUGCAAAUUAAAGGGUAGUGAAAUAAACAGAGUGAUAGCGUCUGUUCCAGAAGGCACAACAUGCAAACAUCUGCUGUGAACUGGUCUGAGAAUCAGUUGGAUCCGCUCCCAUUACCCUCCAACAAAUAUUUACUGCCCUAUUAGGACCUUCCCUAGUACCCAUCAUAACAGAGCUGCCCACUAAAGGGCCUGAUGGUGAACCCUAAGAAGCUGCCAUGUUAGAGCUGCUGCAGGCCCCGGUUCUGUGGGAAUAGCAAAAUGAACGCCAUUACACCUGACAGCAUAUUCAGUUCCUCAGACAUCAUUGUGACAGACCUGGUCCCAUGAUCGGCCUAAUAAUUAAAGCUAUCCUGCAACCGGCGCCGUACUGCUGUGCUGCAUGCGCAUCAGGGGCCCAUGACAUGAUACAGAGGGACAGCUUAACUAUUAAAUAUCCAUCACGCCACGCCACAUCAGUCCUAAUGCAAUCAGAAACACAUGACUACAUCGCCCGGGCCCCCACUUCAAUCCACAAUGAUUAAAUGACAGUUCGAUUUGAUUGGGAAGAGGGGGGAUCUACUGUAGCUGCGCAGACUUAUUCGAGGCUUUGUGUACUUCAGAGAGAACGCACGUGGGCUGUGGUCUUUUUGCUGUAUUAUCAUUUUAAUGAAGCAGGGUAUUUCUUUUGUGGUCGGGAGGCUCUAAUGCAGUUGUCCAAGACUCCCCUUUCAUCUGUCUUCUUCAAAUGCUCGAGGUUGUUAAACAAAUGGAUGUGUCUGAGUAUAUAACGCUGAUGUGGCCAGGCUGUUGUUGACUGGGCCAAUUAGGGCUCAGAGAGAAAAGAAUAAGGCAUGUCUGUUCACUCACUCAAACCGUCAUACAAUACAGUCUGGCUGCUUUGUGUUUAUUAAAAUCACCUGGAUCCUUAAGGAUUUUGUAGAACACACCGUAGUAUGACAUUGCUAUCUGACGAUUUUCAUUAUCAGGACUUCCUGUACUGUUUUUAUCUUGCUAAUUAGCAUCUAAUUAUAAUAAAAAUGUUUUCCUCCUACCUGAUAUGUCAUGAAUUACCCGAUACCGUUGUCUCCGUGUUUAAAUGAGUGAGCAUCUUUAGAAAAAUGUUUAAUUUUACACCCAAGAGAUGAUAAUGAUGCAUACCUGUUUUCUUUAGUCGUAAUGAGAAUGCUGAAAUACGACAACGCUGAUUUCUCAAUGUGCUAAUUACUGAGCAAGUGCUGAUGCGCUAGUGGCUAAAGAUGUAUCCAAGUAAUAUUGUCAGUCAUGUUCUUUUCCAUAACGUCCAC